UCCCUGGUAGCUCAGAUGGUAAAGAAUCUGCCUGCAAUACAGAAGACCCAGUUUUGAUCCCUGGUCAGGAAG
rnacentral:tRNA from 1 species